ensembl:lncRNA
UUAAUCAGUCCCCUGAUCAUUCAUUCCCUCAGGUGUGCACGGCUGAGAAACCCAAGGCCACAGGAUUCUAGACCUUCAUGAGAUUAGAAAUUCUUGAGACCUCAAACCUGGCUAUGAGAAGGGGCCUGUCCAGUUUCCAAGGCAGCAAUAUGUUCAGGGUUCCCUGUUGCUUUUUUCUUUCUGGUCCUCCCUCCUCUGGCCCUUGAGAACAUUCCAUACGUCACUUUGCCUGUGACUUGGUUUACGACCACCUUAGGUAGAGGUAUUUGAACAAAUGAAUCCUUUCUCCAGUCCUGGCUUGAAAAACAGCAGUCAGUUCUUUUAGCCACUUGAUAUGUUGAAAUGCUGUAGAUACUUUGCACAUACAAACUAACUAUAGAUUGUUAUAAAAUGCCUCUUUUCUUCUAUUUGUCCAAGUAAGUUGUGUAUCCCUCAGCCAGUACAACAGAACAUUUUUAGAGGAAAUAAGGAUAAAUUUAAGAACCAAGAUAUGCUGAGAGCGAUAUGCAUUCGCAGAUCGUGGUCUGAUUUUAUAAAACUUCACAGUUCAGUUUAGUCACUCAGUCAUGUCCGACUCUUUGCAACCCCAUGAAUCGCAGCAUGCCAGGCCUCCGUGUCCAUCACCAUCUCCCAGAGUUCACUCAAACUCACAUCCAUCGAGUCGGUGAUGCCAUCCAGCCAUCUCAUCCUCUGUCAUCUGCUCUUCCUCCUGCCCCCAAUCCCUCCCAGCAUCAGAGUCUUCCAAUGAGUCGACUCUUUGCAUGGGGUGGCCAAAGUACUGGAGUUUCAGCUUCAGCAUCAGUCCUUCCAAUGAACACCCAGGACUGGUCUCCUUGAGAAUGGACUGGUUGGAUCUCCUUGCAGUCCAAGGGACUCUCAAGAAUCUUCUCCAACACCACAGUUCAAAAGCAUCAAUUCUUCGGUGCUCAGCUUUCUUUACAGUCUGACUCUCACAUCCAUACAUGACCACUGGAAAAACCAUAGUCUUGACUAGAUGGACCUUUGUUGGCAAAGUAAUGUCUCUGCUUUUCAAUAUGCUAUCUAGGUUGGUCAUAACUUUCCUUCCAAGGAGUAAACGUCUUUUAAUUUCAUGGCUGCAGUCACCAUCUGCAGUCAUUUUGGAGCCCCAAAAAAUAAAGUCUGACACUCUUUCCACUGUUGCCCCAUCUAUAUCCCAUGAAAUGAUGGGACCAGAUGCCAUGAUCUUAGUUUUCUGAAUGUUAAGCUUUAAGCCAACUUUUUCACUCUCCUCUUUCACUUUCAUCAAGAGGCUUUUUAGUUCCUCUUCACUUUCUGCCAUAAGGGUGGUGUCAUCUGCAUAUCUGAGGUUAUUGAUAUUUCUCCCGGC